rnacentral:rRNA from 1 species
UCAGCAGUAGGGAAUCUUCGGCGAUGGACGGAAGUCUGACCGAGCAACGCCGCGUGAGUGAAGAAGGUUUUCGGAUCGUAAAGCUCUGUUGUAAGAGAAGAACGAGUGUGAGAGUGGAAAGUUCACACUGUGACGGUAUCUUACCAGAAAGGGACGGCUAACUACGUGCCAGCAGCCGCGGUAAUACGUAGGUCCCGAGCGUUGUCCGGAUUUAUUGGGCGUAAAGCGAGCGCAGGCGGUUAGAUAAGUCUGAAGUUAAAGGCUGUGGCUUAACCAUAGUACGCUUUGGAAACUGUUUAACUUGAGUGCAAGAGGGGAGAGUGGAAUUCCAUGUGUAGCGGUGAAAUGCGUAGAUAUAUGGAGGAACACCGGUGGCGAAAGCGGCUCUCUGGCUUGUAACUGACGCUGAGGCUCGAAAGCGUGGGGAGCAAACAGGAUUAGAUACCCUGGUAGUCCACGCCGUAAACGAUGAGUGCUAGGUGUUAGACCCUUUCCGGGGUUUAGUGCCGUAGCUAACGCAUUAAGCACUCCGCCUGGGGAGUACGACCGCAAGGUUGAAACUCAAAGGAAUUGACGGA